rnacentral:rRNA from 1 species
UGGGGAAUAUUGGACAAUGGGCGGAAGCCUGAUCCAGCAACGCCGCGUGAGGGAUGACGGCCUUCGGUUGUAAACCUCUUUCACCGAUGACGAAGCGCAAGUGACGGUAGUCGGAGAAGAAGCACCGGCCAACUACGUGCCAGCAGCCGCGGUAAUACGUAGGGUGCGAGCGUUGUCCGGAAUUAUUGGGCGUAAAGGGCUCGUAGGCGGUUUGUCGCGUCGGGAGUGAAAACACCGGGCUAACUCGGUGCUUGCUUUCGAUACGGGCAGACUAGAGGUAUGCAGGGGAGAACGGAAUUCCUGGUGUAGCGGUGAAAUGCGCAGAUAUCAGGAGGAACACCGGUGGCGAAGGCGGUUCUCUGGGCAUUACCUGACGCUGAGGAGCGAAAGUGUGGGGAGCGAACAGGAUUAGAUACCCUGGUAGUCCACACCGUAAACGUUGGGCGCUAGGUGUGGGGCCGUAUUCCAUGGGUUCCGUGCCGCAGCUAACGCAUUAAGCGCCCCGCCUGGGGAGUACC